CUACGGGAGGCAUCAGUGGGGAAUAUUGGACAAUGGGCGAAAGCCUGAUCCAGCCAUGCCGCGUGUGUGAAGAAGGCCUUCGGGUUGUAAAGCACUUUCAGUGGGGAAGAAAGCCUUGGGGCUAAUACCCUCGAGGAAGGACAUCACCCACAGAAGAAGCACCGGCUAACUCCGUGCCAGCAGCCGCGGUAAUACGGAGGGUGCGAGCGUUAAUCGGAAUUACUGGGCGUAAAGCGCGCGUAGGCGGUCUGAUAAGCCGGUUGUGAAAGCCCCGGGCUCAACCUGGGAACGGCAUCCGGAACUGUCAGGCUAGAGUGCAGGAGAGGAAGGUAGAAUUCCCGGUGUAGCGGUGAAAUGCGUAGAGAUCGGGAGGAAUACCAGUGGCGAAGGCGGCCUUCUGGACUGACACUGACGCUGAGGUGCGAAAGCGUGGGUAGCAAACAGGAUUAGAUACCCUAGUAGUC
rnacentral:rRNA from 1 species